CGCCCGGGGCCGGCUCGGUGGCGGCGCUGGUGCCGCGCAGCGGGCGCGGCCGCGUCCCUGAGGGUCGCGCUGGGCGGUCCCGGUCGCAGCCCCGGUCAUAGGCUCGGUCAUGGGGGACGUGGGGGACACCUCCGCAGCUGGCAGUCAACUGAUACCUAAAAACUUUGAUGCUUAAAAGUCUGCCGGAACUCCUAGUCCAUGUAUGGAUCAUCCCAUAUUCUUGUGUCAGGAGUACAUCACAUCAUCCACAGCUAUAAAGAUAACUUGAACUGAGUAUUUAAUCACAAGAGAUGGCACAAUGGUAAAAAGCUCACUUUGAAAACUACUCCAGUUAUGACAUGGACAUCAUCUGAGAAAGCAGCCACUUGACUUUCUGGAGUUGGUCUGCAUGUGCUGCAGGUACUGGCCACAAUAUGAUUGUCUGACACAUGCCCCAGGAGUCACACAAGGACCUCUGGCACUACAGCUAUGUUUAAUUUUGAGAAAGAAGACUUUCUAAAUUGAACGGAUUAAAUAAUGUAACCUCUGAGCAGGCUAUAUGGAAAGAUGAGGAAAUUAACAUUCAGAGAAGUAGACACUACUGAGAUGUCAUUUUCUAAAC